AACAAACGCUGGCGGCGUGCCUAACACAUGCAAGUCGUACGAGAAAGGGUCCUUCGGGGCCUGAGUAAAGUGGCGCACGGGUGAGUAACGCGUGGAUAAUCUGCCCUUCAGUUGGGAAUAACUCAUCGAAAGGUGGGCUAAUACCGAAUAAUGCUGUGAGACCUCGGUUGAUCAGCCAAAGAGAGCCUCUGCUUGCAAGCCCUCGCUGAAGGAUGAGUCCGCGUACCAUUAGCUAGUUGGUAGGGUAAUGGCCUACCAAGGCGACGAUGGUUAGCUGGUCUGAGAGGAUGAUCAGCCACACUGGAACUGAGACACGGUCCAGACUCCUACGGGAGGCAGCAGUGAGGAAUCUUGCGCAAUGGGGGCAACCCUGACGCAGCAACGCCGCGUGAGUGAGGAAGGUCUUCGGAUCGUAAAGCUCUGUCGGAUGGAAAGAACCGCAUAGGGGUAAACAGCCCCUGUGUCUGACGGUACCAUCAAAGGAAGCACCGGCUAACUCCGUGCCAGCCGCCGCAGUAAGAC
rnacentral:rRNA from 1 species